rnacentral:rRNA from 1 species
UACGAAGGGGGCUAGCGUUGCUCGGAAUCACUGGGCGUAAAGGGCGCGUAGGCGGCGUUUUUAAGUCGGGGGUGAAAGCCUGUGGCUCAACCACAGAAUGGCCUCGAUACUGGGACGCUUGAGUAUGGUAGAGGUUGGUGGAACUGCGAGUGUAGAGGUGAAAUUCGUAGAUAUUCGCAAGAACACCAGUGGCGAAGGCGGCCAACUGGUCCAUUACUGACGCUGAGGUGCGAAAGCGUGGGGAGCAAACAGG